rnacentral:ncRNA from 2 species
UUUAUUGUGAUUUUUUAAACUCGUAUAUAAUCGGUAAUAUGGUCCGAAAGUUUCUACCUGCUAACCUUAAAUGGGCAGACUACGAGGUGUUUUUGAAUUAUU